CUUGAUGGACGCUUCCAGGCGAGUGCGCACCUCCUCAUGACUCAUAGCCUGCUCUGGUGUUACCUCAUAGGGUAGUUUACUGUUGGAGGAGAGAAGGGGAGGGGCAAGAGGUGGUACAGAAAGGGGCGGAGGGAAAGAGUUGGUACAGAAAGGGGCGAGGGAAAGAGGUGGUACAGAAAGGGGCGAGGGAAAGAGGUGGUACAGAAAGGGGCGAGGGAAAGAGGUGGUACAGAAAGGGGCGAGGGAAAGAGGUGGUACAGAAAGGGGCGAGGGAAAGAGGUGGUACAGAAAGGGGCGAGGGAAAGAGGUGGUACAGAAAGGGGCGAGGGAAAGAGGUGGUACAGAAAGGGGCGAGGGAAAGAGGUGGUACAGAAAGGGGCGAGGGAAAGAGGUGGUACAGAAAGGGGCGAGGGAAAGAGGUGGUACAGAAAGGGGCGAGGGAAAGAGGUGGUACAGAAAGGGGCGAGGGAAAGAGGUGGUACAGAAAGGGGCGAGGGAAAGAGGUGGUACAGAAAGGGGCGAGGGAAAGAGGUGGUACAGAAAGGGGCGAGGGAAAGAGGUGGUACAGAAAGGGGCGAGGGAAAGAGGUGGUACAGAAAGGGGCGAGGGAAAGAGGUGGUACAGAAAGGGGCGGAGGGAAAGAGGUGGUACAGAAAGGGGCGGAGGGAAAGAGGUGGUACAGAAAGGGGCGGAGGGAAAGAGGUGGUACAGAAAGGGGCGGAGGGAAAGAGGUGGUACAGAAAGGGGCGGAGGGAAAGAGGUGGUACAGAAAGGGGCGGAGGGAAAGAGGUGGUACAGAAAGGGGCGGAGGGAAAGAGGUGGUACAGAAAGGGGCAGAGGGAAAGAGGUGGUACAGAAAGGGGCAGAGGGAAAGAGCGAGAGAAAGGUACACAGUCAUACAAUUUCACUCAGAAUUGUAACGACAGCUCUAAUACUUUCCAUCUUUGAACAGUUGACGCCAAACUCCAACUCCUCUCUGACAGUCUCCUCUGAACUCCAUUCCCCAGACUCCU